GGCUCCAUAAAACAGUUGUAACCAAUCACCGCGGAUAACCUAUACGGAUAUCCUCGGUAAUUCUGAGGCUAAUACGUGAAAAAUCACCUCUAAUCGUGGGCAACUACGAGAGGAGGGGCUCAGCGCACUGCACUUCUAAACCGAUAACAGUAGGAAUACGGGCUGAGCUUGACCGCGCAAGCGGCGCUGGUGUCCGGCUUCUGACCUAUCAACUUGAUGCAGGCGUAACGCACAAACAUGGUAACAACGGGUACAGAGGAUAAGGGUUCGAU
rnacentral:rRNA from 1 species